GACGAACGCUGGCGGCGUGCCUAACACAUGCAAGUCGAACGAAGAGCGAUGGAUGCUUGCUUCUAUCAAUCUUAGUGGCGAACGUGUGAGUAACGAGUCAUCAACCUGCUCUUCAGAAGCGUCCAACAGUUGGAAAUGACUGCUAAUGCCUCAUACGAUCUGACCUCGGCAUCGAGGAUAGAUCACAGGUGGCCUCUAUUUAUAAGCUAUCACUGUAGGUGGUGAGUGAGUCUGAUUAGCAAGUUGGGGGGGGAACCGCCCACCAAGGCGAGGAUCAGUAGACGGGCUUAGAGGAUGAACGGGCACAAUGGGACUGAGGAAACGGUCAGACUCCUAAGGGAGGGAGCAGGGGGGAAUCAUUCGCAAUGGACGAAAGUCUGACGGAGCAAAGCCGGGUGGGUGAUGACGGGCUUCGGGUUGUAAAGGUACGUUAAUUGGGACGAAAGGCCUGCUUGCGAAUAGUUAGAAGGAUUGACGGUACCGGAAGAGAAAGCCACGGCUAACUACGUG
rnacentral:rRNA from 1 species